rnacentral:rRNA from 1 species
UACGGGGGGAGCAAGCGUUGUUCGGAUUUACUGGGCGUAAAGGGCGCGUAGGCGGUCGUGACAAGUCACUUGUGAAAUCUCCGGGCUUAACUCGGAACGGUCAAGUGAUACUGUCGGACUAGAGUACAGAAGGGGCAACUGGAAUUCUCGGUGUAGCGGUGAAAUGCGUAGAUAUCGAGAGGAACACCUGCGGCGAAGGCGGGUUGCUGGACUGAUACUGACGCUGAGGCGCGAAAGCCAGGGGAGCGAACGGG